AAAUAAGAAACAAAUUAUUGUACUUAGUUUCGACCUAAGCCUUGAUGAAAUCAUCCUUAUUUA
rnacentral:tRNA from 1 species